rnacentral:rRNA from 1 species
GAUGAACGCUAGCGGCGGGCUUAAUACAUGCAAGUCGAGGGGCAGCACGAUGUAGCAAUACAUUGGUGGCGACCGGCGGACGGGUGCGUAACACGUAUGCAACUUGCCCUAUACUGGGGGAUAGCCCGAAGAAAUUCGGAUUAAUACCCCAUAACAUCAAGAUAAGCAUUUAUCUUGGUUCAAAACUCCGGUGGUAUAGG